CAUCCUUUGCUCCGAUCUUCAUUUUAGACUCAGAGAACAGAGCAUGGAGGCAUGGGCGGGGGUUGUUGUUGGUGGAAGUUAAUCUAAAGAAGAACAUCAACAAGAAGAAAAUUUGACUUAUAGAAAAGUAGCCACAACACAGUUACUUAGGAAAUAGUGGUAGCCAGAUAAAUACCUACAAUUCAAUCCUGUCAUCUGAGUUUGAGGCAGUCUUUUCCAGCCACAUCACAAUGACAAUUAUGAAGACUAGGGAACAUCACAGAAAAUAUUUAUGAUAAAGUCAGUGAAAAAGAAGAGCACAAAACUGGGAGUUCACUGUGGAUGGGAUGAGAUGAAGAUUUGUCUACAAAGAGCUAAACAAUGGAAAGUGAGAAACGAACAGUUCUUUGAGAGAGAUAUGACCAUUAUUGAUUUGGUUUUUUGUUUGUUUACUUUAAUGUUGUUAUAAUAAAGAUUUCUGUUCCCAAA